UAGGCCAAUAACUCAGUUGGUAGAGUAAUUGCCUUACAAGCAAUAAGUCAUCGGUUCGAGCCCGAUUUGGCCUAGC
rnacentral:tRNA from 1 species